CCUACGGGCGGCUGCAGUGGGGAAUAUUGCACAAUGGAGGGAACUCUGAUGCAGCGACGCCGCGUGAGUGAAGAAGGUCUUCGGAUCGUAAAACUCUGUCCUUGGUGAAGAAAAGGACUGUAGCCAAGGAGGAAGCCCCGGCUAACUACGUGCCAGCAGCCGCGGUAAUACGUAGGGGGCGAGCGUUGUCCGGAUUUACUGGGCGUAAAGGGUGAGUAGGCGGUAAUAUAUGUCAGGUGUAAAAGGUCAUGGCUUAACCAUGGUUAGCACUUGAAACUGUAUGACUUGAGUGCAGGAGAGGUAAGCGGAAUUCCUAGUGUAGCGGUGAAAUGCGUAGAUAUUAGGAGGAACACCAGUGGCGAAGGCGGCUUACUGGACUGUAACUGACGCUGAGUCACGAAAGCGUGGGUAGCAAACAGGAUUAGAUACCCUAGUAGUC
rnacentral:rRNA from 1 species